UGCUCACAGCCUGUGCAGGAGUCAGUGCCUGUCAGGACACAGCAUGGACAUGAGGGCUCCUGCUCAGCUCCUGGGCCUCCUGCUGCUCUGGCUCCUAGGUGCCAGAUGUUCCGGCCAAACAGUAACCCAGAGUCCAUCCGUGGUGUCUGCACCUGUGGGAGGCACAGCCACAAUCAAUUGCCAGUCAAGUCCGAGUGUUAACAGCAACAAGUAUCUAUCCUGGUAUCAGCAGAAACCAGGGCAACAUCCAAAGCUCCUGAUCUAUCUGGCAUCCAGUUUAGCCUCUGGGGUCCCUUCGAGGUUCAAGGGCAGUGGCUCUGGGACAUCAUUCACUCUCACCAUCAGCGGGGUGCAGGCUGAGGAUGCAGGAAUCUACUACUGUUAUGGGGAAUAUUAUACUAGUGGUAGUUACACUUACACAGUGAUAUAAGCCUGAACAAAAACC